GACGAACGCUGGCGGCGUGCUUAACACAUGCAAGUCGAACGGUAAGGCCCUUCGGAGUACACGAGUGGCGAACGGGUGAGUAACACGUGGGUGAUCUGUCCUGCACUUCGGGAUAAGCCUGGGAAACUGGGUCUAAUACCGGAUAGGACCACUGCCGGCAUGGGUGGUGGUGGAAAGCUUUUGCGGUGUGGGAUGGGCCCGCGGCCUAUCAGCUUGUUGGUGGGGUGAUGGCCUACCAAGGCGACGACGGGUAGCCGGCCUGAGAGGGUGACCGGCCACACUGGGACUGAGAUACGGCCCAGACUCCUACGGGAGGCAGCAGUGGGGAAUAUUGCACAAUGGGCGCAAGCCUGAUGCAGCGACGCCGCGUGAGGGAUGACGGCCUUCGGGUUGUAAACCUCUUUCAGCACCGACGAAGCGCAAGUGACGGUAGGUGCAGAAGAAGGACCGGCCAACUACGUGCCAGCCGCCGCCGUAA
rnacentral:rRNA from 1 species